GAUGAACGCUGGCGGCGUGCCUCAAACAUGCAAGUCGAGCGGGGCUAUGUAAUACCGCAAGGUAGAACAUAGCCUAGCGGCGAACGGGUGAGUAACACGUGGGUAACCUGCCUGGAAGACAGGGAUAACGAUUCGAAAGGGUCGCUAAUACCUGAUAAUAUCCUUUCAUCGCAUGGUGAUAGGAAGAAAGGGGAAACCCGCUUUCAGAUGGGCCCGCGUCCCAUCAGCUAGUUGGUAAGGUAAAGGCUUACCAAGGCGACGACGGGUAGCCGGUCUGAGAGGAUGUACGGCCACACUGGGACUGAGAUACGGCCCAGACUCCUACGGGAGGCAGCAGUUGGGAAUCUUAGGCAAUGGACGAAAGUCUGACCUAGCGACGCCGCGUGAGGGAAGAAGGCCUUCGGGUUGUAAACCUCUGUCAUGGGGGAAGAAGUAAGUGACGGUACCCCAAGAGGAAGCCCCGGCUAACUACGUG
rnacentral:rRNA from 1 species